UACGAAGGGGGCUAGCGUUGCUCGGAAUCACUGGGCGUAAAGCGCACGUAGGCGGAUCCUUAAGUCGGGGGUGAAAUCCUGGAGCUCAACUCCAGAACUGCCUUCGAUACUGAGGAUCUCGAGUCCGGGAGAGGUGAGUGGAACUGCGAGUGUAGAGGUGAAAUUCGUAGAUAUUCGGAAGAACACCAGUGGCGAAGGCGGCUCACUGGUCCGGUACUGACGCUGAUGUGCGAAAGCGUGGGGAGCAAACAGG
rnacentral:rRNA from 1 species